GGGGGAGUAUGAAGGAAGCCAGCAGUUAAUGCUAGUUCAAAGUUUAAUAAAGCUGUGGCCUUUGCCAUUAUCCACUAUGCAGGUGCUUGUAUUUAUUGGGCAAUGGGAAGGUAUUAAAUGCGUCAACAGUCAAGAGAUGACUGCUGCCCAGGGAAGGGGUUGGAUCAAUGGGAUAACAAUGUUACAGAAAGGUAAGGUACA